rnacentral:tRNA from 2 species
GCCGCCUUAGCUCAGUUGGUUAGAGCGCUAGAUUGUGGAUCUAGAGGUCUCUGGUUCGAUUCCAGAAGGCGGUA